rfam:Methylobacterium extorquens AM1, complete genome.
GGCGGGGUAGCUCAGCUGGUUAGAGCAGAGGAAUCAUAAUCCUUGUGUCGGGGGUUCAAAUCCCUCCCUCGCUA